UGGGGGAUAUUGCACAAUGGGCGAAAGCCUGAUGCAGCGACGCCGCGUGGGGGAUGAAGGCCUUCGGGUUGUAAACUUCUUUUGCUCUGAACAAGGCAUGCUUUUGGGGUGUGUUGAGUGUAGGGGUUGAUUAGCGCCGGCUAACUACGUGCCAGCAGCCGCGGUAAUACGUAGGGCGCGAGCGUUGUCCGGAAUUAUUGGGCGUAAAGGGCUUGUAGGUGGCUGGUUGCGUCUGUCGUGAAAGCUCAUGGCUUAACUGUGGGUUUGCGGUGGGUACGGGCUGGCUUGAGUGCAGUAGGGGGGGGUGGAAUUCCUGGUGUAGCGGUGGAAUGCGCAGAUAUCAGGAGGAAUACCGGUGGCGAAGGCGGGUCUCUGGGCUGUUACUGACGCUGAGGAGCGAAAGCGUGGGGAGCGAACAGG
rnacentral:rRNA from 1 species